ACAAUUUUUGGUUAGUAAUACAGGCUAGGUACAAGCUGGGUAACUAUGUUUGUCAUAAGGAAUUAUUUUGUCGAUUAAUAACAGUAGUUUAAAAAUAGUGUUUAUAUAGAGUGUCGUCGCUUAAUUAGCAAGAUAUAUUCUGUCUCACUGUGGAGUCACUAUGUUAAACUUAAGUGUGUGUAUAGUCACUUUUAUGAGGUUAGUAGUUUAGUUAGGGUGCAAAUACAAUGAGAGAGUAGAAUGGCAUGUAAUGAACACAUUAAGCUUAACCGUCUGUGUGUAGUCGCGGUCAUUUGGGUAAGCAGGUCAAACACUAAGCGUGAAGUCCUGAGACUAGCCCAUCUGGAUCGUGUUAGUUUAUUUGGGCUUCUCGUUGUGUGUGCCCAGCAAGCGCGCGUCCCAGCGCCAUCGUGAAA